CACUGCUGUCGCACGAGUUCAGACUCGUGGCGAAUAGCUCAGUAACACGUGGCCAAACUACCCUUCGGAACACAAUACCCUCGGGAAACUGAGGCUAAUAGUGUAUACCAUACCACCACUGGAAUGAGUGGUAUGCCAAACGCUCCGGCGCCGAAGGAUGUGGCUGCGGCCGAUUAGGUAGACGGUGGGGUAACGGCCCACCGUGCCAAUAAUCGGUAUGGGUCAUGAGAGUGAGAACCCAGAGACGGAAUCUGAGACAAGAUUCCGGGCCCUACGGGGCGCAGCAGGCGCGAAACCUUUACACUGCACGACAGUGCGAUAGGGGGAUCCCAAGUGCACAGGCAUAGCGCCUGUGCUUUUCGGUACCCUAAGGCGGUACCAGAAUAAGGGCUGGGCAAGACCGGUGCCAGCCGCCGCGGUAAUACCGGCAGCCCAAGUGAAGGCCGAUCUUAUUGGGCCUAAAGCGUCCGUAGCUGGCCGCGCAAGUCCAUCGGGAAAUCCACCUGCUCAACAGGUGGGCGCCCGGUAGAAACUGCGUGGCUUGGGACCGGAAGGCGCGACGGGUACGUCCGGGGUAGGAGUGAAAUCCCGUAAUCCUGGACGGACCGCCGAUGGCGAAAGCACGUCGCGAGGACGGAUCCGACAGUGAGGGACGAAAGCCAGGGUCUCGAACC
rnacentral:rRNA from 1 species